GAUGAACGCUAGCGGCAGGCUUAAUACAUGCAAGUCGAGGGGGCAGCAAUGUCACCGGCGAACGGGUGCGUAACGCGUAUGCAACCUACCUACAUCAGGGGGAUAGCCCUAGGAAACUGGGAUUAACACCGCAUAAUAUAAGCUACGGCAUCGUAACUUAUUGAAAUAUUUAUAGGAUGUAGAUGGGCAUGCGUAAGAUUAGCUAGUUGGUAAGGUAACGGCUUACCAAGGCUACGAUCUUUAGGGGCUCUGAGAGGAGUAUCCCCCACACUGGCACUGAGAUACGGGCCAGACUCCUACGGGAGGCAGCAGUAGGGAAUAUUGGGCAAUGGAGGCAACUCUGACCCAGCCAUGCCGCGUGCAGGAAGACGGCCCUCUGGGUUGUAAACUGCUUUUGAAUGGGAAGAAUGUGAUGUUUGCGAGCAUUAAUGACGGUACCAUUAGAAUAAGCCACGGCUAACUACGUGCCAGCCGCCGCAGUAA
rnacentral:rRNA from 1 species